CACAGCUCUGAGUCUCUUUGUCUAGAAAGUGAGAAUAAACCCCAGCCCUACAGUUACAGGAGGAUCCUCAGCACAGUGCAGCACACAGGAGUCCCCGCUCGGCAGUUCCUUCUGCUUCUGGCCGCACGUAUUAACUCACCGAAUCCGCAAAAACAGCCUGGAGAGAGGUUACAAAUGAGGACAUUGAGGUGCCAAGUUUCAUCUGUUUGUGACAGGGGCAGGAGAGAUGACCCAACCCAGAGUUGCUGUUCCUCACACCCAGAUGGAUACGUUCUCAUUUUACACAGGGGGAGCUAGCUCAGCUACUCGGAUGCAGAAGCCAUGUGAUCUUCUUAAGGGAACCACUGAAAGAAACCGCCCACCCUGGCCAGAUCCUAUAGUAACCAUUUGCAUGAGUUACCUCACAACAGGAGGUCCUGGUAAGGAACACUGAACUAACAAGCUAUCACCAACUACAACUCAGAAAAGGUCAAUGUGUCCUACUAACCUCCCAGAAUCCUUCUCGCUGGAAUCCAUCUUGGCUGGUUGACGUGCACGCCACUAGGAAACACCCUGAGUGAGGAAUGAUUGGCCAGACACAACCCGGAAACUAACCCCAUCACCAUAAAACCUGAAACUGUGAGCACAUGGCAGAGCAAUCCUCCUGGGGGAUCUCCUGGGCUCCCUUACCCUCCUGCUCUCCGCCCAGGGAAUCCCUUCCCAAUA